rnacentral:rRNA from 1 species
AGUAAGUACCGAAGCUGUAGACUUGCGCACAACUUAGAUUAUUUAAGUUUAGAAUAUGAGAAACUAAGUUAUGUUUAGUUAUAUUUUUACUGAUUUUUAUAGAGUAAAGAUAGAAAUAAAACUUAGUAAAAUCAGUAAAAAUAUUCUUAGGCUAAAGUUAAGUAGUUUAAGUUGUGUGCAAGUGGUAGGAGAGCGUUCUAUUUGCGUCGAAGGUAUACCGGUAAGGAGUGCUGGAGCGAAUAGAAGUGAGCAUGCAGGCAUGAGUAGCGAUAAUUAAUGUGAGAAUCAUUAACGCCGUAAACCCAAGGUUUCCUACGCGAUGCUCGUCAUCGUAGGGUUAGUCGGGUCCUAAGUCGAGUCCGAAAGGGGUAGACGAUGGCAAAUUGGUUAAUAUUCCAAUACCAACAUUAGUGUGCGAUGGAAGGACGCUUAGGGCUAAGGGGGCUAGCGGAUGGAAGUGCUAGUCUAAGGUCGUAGGAGGUUAUACAGGCAAAUCCGUAUAACAAUACUCCGAGAACUGAAAGGCUUUUUGAAGUCUUCGGAUGGAUAGAAGAACCCCUGAUGCCGUCGAGCCAAGAAAAGUUUCUAAGUUUAGCUAAUGUUGCCCGUACCGUAAACCGACACAGGUGGGUGGGAUGAGUAUUCUAAGGCGCGUGGAAGAACUCUCUUUAAGGAACUCUGCAAAAUAGCACCGUAUCUUCGGUAUAAGGUGUGGUUAGCUUCGUACUAGGAUUUACUCCGAAAGCGAAGAAACUUACAACAAAGAGUCCCUCCCGACUGUUUACCAAAAACACAGCACUCUGCUAACUCGUAAGAGGAUGUAUAGGGUGUGACGCCUGCCCGGUGCUCGAAGGUUAAUUGAUGGGGUUAGCAUUAGCGAAGCUCUUGAUCGAAGCCCGAGUAAACGGCGGCCGUAACUAUAACGGUCCUAAGGUAGCGAAAUUCCUUGUCGGUUAAAUACCGACCUGCAUGAAUGGCGUAACGAGAUGGGAGCUGUCUCAAAGAGGGAUCCAGUGAAAUUGUAGUGGAGGUGAAAAUUCCUCCUACCCGCGGCAAGACGGAAAGACCCCGUGGACCUUUACUACAGCUUGACACUGCUACUUGGAUAAGAAUGUGCAGGAUAGGUGGGAGGCUUUGAGUAUAUGACGCCAGUUGUAUAUGAGCCAUUGUUGAGAUACCACUCUUUCUUAUUUGGGUAGCUAACCAGCUUGAGUUAUCCUCAAGUGGGACAAUGUCUGGUGGGUAGUUUGACUGGGGCGGUCGCCUCCCAAAUAAUAACGGAGGCUUACAAAGGUUGGCUCAGAACGGUUGGAAAUCGUUCGUAGAGUAUAAAGGUAUAAGCCAGCUUAACUGCAAGACAUACAAGUCAAGCAGAGACGAAAGUCGGUCUUAGUGAUCCGGUGGUUCUGUGUGGAAGGGCCAUCGCUCAAAGGAUAAAAGGUACCCCGGGGAUAACAGGCUGAUCUCCCCCAAGAGCUCACAUCGACGGGGAGGUUUGGCACCUCGAUGUCGGCUCAUCGCAUCCUGGGGCUGGAGCAGGUCCCAAGGGUAUGGCUGUUCGCCAUUUAAAGCGGUACGCGAGCUGGGUUCAGAACGUCGUGAGACAGUUCGGUCCCUAUCUGCCGUGGGCGUAAGAAGAUUGAAGAGAUUUGACCCUAGUACGAGAGGACCGGGUUGAACAAACCACUGGUGUAGCUGUUGUUCUGCCAAGAGCAUCGCAGCGUAGCUAAGUUUGGAAAGGAUAAACGCUGAAAGCAUCUAAGCGUGAAGCCAACUCUAAGAUGAAUCUUCUCUAAGCUCUCUAGAAGACUACUAGUUUGAUAGGCUGGGUGUGUAAUGGAUGAAAGUCCUUUAGCUGACCAGUACUAAUAGAGCGUUUGGCUUAUCUUU